GAUGAAGAACGUAGCGAAAUGCGAUAAGUAAUGUGAAUUGCAGAAUUCAGUGAAUCAUCGAAUCUUUGAACGCACAUUGCGCCCGCCAGCACUCUGGCGGGCAUGCCUGUUCGAGCGUCAUUUCAACCAUCAAGCCCCCAGGGGCUUGUGCUGGGGCCCUGCGGCUGCCCGCAGGCCCUGAAAACCAGUGGCGGGCUCGCUAGUCACACCGAGCGCAGUAGCACAUCUCGCUCAGGGCGUGCGGCGGGCUCCUGCCGUGAAACCCCCCACUGUAACCCCAAAGGUUGACCUCGGAUCAGGUAGGAAGACCCGCUGAACUUAAGCAUAUCAAUAAGCGGAGGA
rnacentral:misc_RNA from 1 species